rnacentral:rRNA from 1 species
UACGUAGGGUGCAAGCGUUAAUCGGAAUUACUGGGCGUAAAGCGUGCGCAGGCGGUGAUGUAAGACAGAUGUGAAAUCCCCGGGCUCAACCUGGGAACUGCAUUUGUGACUGCAUCGCUGGAGUGCGGCAGAGGGGGAUGGAAUUCCGCGUGUAGCAGUGAAAUGCGUAGAUAUGCGGAGGAACACCGAUGGCGAAGGCAAUCCCCUGGGCCUGCACUGACGCUCAUGCACGAAAGCUAGGGGAGCGAACGGG